GACGAACGCUGGCGGCGUGCUUAACACAUGCAAGUCGAACGGAAAGGCCCUGCUUUUGUGGGGUGCUCGAGUGGCGAACGGGUGAGUAACACGUGAGUAACCUGCCCUUGCCUUUGGGAUAACUUCAGGAAACUGGGGCUAAUACCGGAUAGGAGCUCCUGCUGCAUGGUGGGGGCUGGAAAGUUUCGGCGGUUGGGGAUGGACUCGCGGCUUAUCAGCUUGUUGGUGGGGUAGUGGCUUACCAAGGCUUUGACGGGUAGCCGGCCUGAGAGGGUGACCGGCCACAUUGGGACUGAGAUACGGCCCAGACUCCUACGGGAGGCAGCAGUGGGGAAUAUUGCACAAUGGGCGGAAGCCUGAUGCAGCAACGCCGCGUGCGGGAUGACGGCCUUCGGGUUGUAGACCGCUUUCGCCUGUGACGAAGCGUGAGUGACGGUAAUGGGUAAAGAAGCACCGGCUAACUACGUG
rnacentral:rRNA from 1 species